rnacentral:rRNA from 1 species
CUUGUGUAUCAGGGCUUAUUAAAUUAGGAUUAAGGCUUUAUUUGUCUCGAAUUCAGAAGAGCUAUAUUUAAAUAUAUUUUAAUGUUGAAUAAUUAUUUAUGAUUUAAGUAUAGUAAUGAAACGUUAUUCGUUUUUGAAUAUAUCUAGUUUUCCAAGAAAUUAAUUAAAUUUAGUAGUUAUUAAAUAUUUUUAUUAUUAAUUAUUUUGAUAUUAGUAGCUAGCAAUAUCUAAGGGGAUGAGCUUUUGGAUAGAUACUUAUAAGUAUUAUUUGUUUUAAUAAUUAGUAGGAUUAGAAUUUUCCAUCUAUAGAAGGAUGUUAUAAUUUAUUAUUGUAUAAUAUGAUUUUUAUUUUCUUUAGGUUAUUUAUUGGAAUAAUAGUGUUAAUUGUUUUUACUAUGAAAUAAUGAUAGGAUUAGUAUAAUUAAUUGUAUUGGUAAUUUGUUAAGCGAGGUUAUUGAAAGGAACUCGGCAAGUCUAAUUUUCACCUGUUUAAUAAAAACAUGGCCUUUUGAUUAUGAUUUAAGGUCUUACCUGCCCAAUGAUUUUUGAAUGGCCGCAGUAUUUUG